GCCGGGGGGUCCAAGCGUUGUUCGGAAUCAUUGGGCGUAAAGCGUGUGCAGGUGGUCUUGUAAGUUGGAUGUGAAAGCCCCGGGCUUAACUCCAGAACUGCCUUCGAUACUGGAAGACUUGAGUCCGGGAGAGGUGAGUGGAACUGCGAGUGUAGAGGUGAAAUUCGUAGAUAUUCGCAAGAACACCAGUGGCGAAGGCGGCUCACUGGCCCGGUACUGACGCUGAGGUGCGAAAGCGUGGGGAGCAAACAGG
rnacentral:rRNA from 1 species